UACUGUGGAAGGGUCACGGAAGGAUUAUUGAAAUGUAAAUUAAAGAGCGACGCACAGGGAGCUUUGGUUGGUCUUAGUUCACCCAAAAGGUGUGUUUGGGCAGUAUCCUUAAAUUCGCUCCUGCAAAGUUAUUUACUUAUCCGGCGCUACAACCACUUUUCGGUACAAAGUAGUUUUAGAUAUUUUCUUCGCCAACGUUCUCCGUUCAGGAAGAGCCUAUUAAGAUGUUUAUCGAUUUCACCAAAUUGUAUGUGUCACCGUACUCUCAACGAUACGAAAAUAAGCUCCCGAAGUGUAUUCAAUGUUGGCCAUUAUGUUGUUGUCCCUUUCCUCAAAACCCAACGUGUGACAGACAGGCUCCAAAACGAAGUGCGCCCGGCGACAAUUAAUUCCCAAACCACUUAGGAACCCAUCCAUCCCAUAGAUCCUUUCGAUUGCGAUCUGUCUGUCUGGCGUGAAGGUUCUAUCGUGCCGUUGUGCCAAACCUUCUUUGCGAUCCGAAAGCUACUGCUACGAAGGAGAAAAAGAACACGAAACACGGUAAGAAAUAGAGCCAAAGCAUAGGAAAUCCUCUCCAGUACGGUUGUCUACCAUCACAGCGAACCAGCCAGCUGCGUGUCUCUUUUGCUAGAUUGACGAAUGCAGGAACAAAGCAAGCCUUGCCAAAUGCUGCAAAAGCGCUUAGUAAGUAAUCGCUUCGAAGGAUAAUUCACUUCCGCAACGUUGUGGGCGAGCGGUGCAUUACGCCAAUCGGGUACAAUCCUAAGGGAAGCAUUAAUUUCCGGUACGGACGUCGUACUUCGAUCCCACCGUGGUAAUGGUGAGUGCUAGACGACAAGUUGCUCUUGCUUUGACGGUACGUAUCCUCAAGGUAGAGCAUGAAAAAUCGCCUCCAACUCGCCCAAACGCAUAAAAAUGGCGAGCAUUGCACACCGCGACUGUAGCUGCUAAGAGCAUUAAAAAGUUACAUAUUACUGCCCCCUACUAACGAACCCAGUACACUGGAACUUUCCUUGAAAGGGGGGAAAGAAAAGAAAUAACUCAAGAUGAACGACAGGAAACGUGCCGUCCUUUCGUUUGAUCGUUUGAAAAAUAACGAAGAUCUGUUUGCACGAGCAGUCUAUGGGCUGGUGCUUGCAAGGUAGGAACCUGCGAAGGAUGCGGCAAUUGAACUGCAAAAUCAACAUUGACGAGUUAAGCCAAGAUAAGGUGGAAAAAGAGAAGCGGGUGCACAAGGGCAAGGAUGCUAGAACGCUAUCAGAGUCUCGUGGACAUCCACGCGUAAACACCAACAGACUGUUGGCAGCAGUUGAUAAAUGGAAAUCUUCUCUAAAAAGCACACGUACUUCUUGACCUUGUUUGACCGAUGAUUCUUGUUUCCAAGGCCGUUUAAAGGGAAACGGGAAAACAAGAUUAUCGUUGUACGGGUUGUUGUUGUGGAUAAAAGGCUUGAUUGAAAAUGUCCUUCGCCUCGUG